GACAGAGGGUGCAAACGUUGUUCGGAAUUACUGGGCGUAAAGCGCGUGUAGGCGGUCUCAUAAGUCGGAUGUGAAAGCCCUGGGCUCAACCGAGGAAGUGCACUCGAUACUGCGAGGCUAGAGUAUCGGAGAGGUUGGUGGAAUUCUCGGUGUAGAGGUGAAAUUCGUAGAUAUCGAGAGGAACACCGGUGGCGAAGGCGGCCAACUGGACGAAUACUGACGCUGAGACUCGAAAGCGUGGGGAGCAAACAGG
rnacentral:rRNA from 1 species